GACGAACGCUGGUGGCGUGCUUAACACAUGCAAGUCGAACGGAAAGGCCCUGCUUUUGUGGGGUGCUCGAGUGGCGAACGGGUGAGUAACACGUGAGUAACCUGCCCUUGACUUUGGGAUAACUUCAGGAAACUGGGGCUAAUACCGGAUAGGAGCUCCUGCUGCAUGGUGGGGGUUGGAAAGUUUCGGCGGUUGGGGAUGGACUCGCGGCUUAUCAGCUUGUUGGUGGGGUAGUGGCUUACCAAGGCUUUGACGGGUAGCCGGCCUGAGAGGGUGACCGGCCACAUUGGGACUGAGAUACGGCCCAGACUCCUACGGGAGGCAGCAGUGGGGAAUAUUGCACAAUGGGCGGAGGCCUGAUGCAGCAACGCCGCGUGCGGGAUGACGGCCUUCGGGUUGUAAACCGCUUUCGCCUGUGACGAAGCGUGAGUGGCGGUAAUGGGUAAAGAAGCACCGGCUAACUACGUG
rnacentral:rRNA from 1 species